rfam:Oryza nivara chromosome 6, whole genome shotgun sequence.
AGAAAAGGAAACCCUGGGUUUCCGUGUCCAACUUUAACUGUCCGUCUUAUAUGAAAUUUUUUUAUAAUUCGUAUUUUUAUUGUUGUUAUCAUUAUUGUUAGAUGAUAAAACAUAAUUAAUAUUUUAUGCGUGACUUGUCUUUUUUAUUUUUUUCGUAAUUUUUUUAAAUAAGACGAACGGUCAAACGUUAGACACGGAAACCAGGGUUUCUUUUUUU